UUUGCGUUCAUUUUCAAAUUCGCCGUGCAUAUAUUUUUGUGCAUGGCGCUUGAGAGGGCAUCACGUGACUAAAAACGACCAACCAACGACCUCGCUUCGGCCAUCUUGGCAUCUUCAUCUUGGCCACCUUGCUUUGCCGUGGGUGGAUCGUUAUUUCUAUUAUUUGUGCUUUUUAAGAAUAUUUUUUUAAUUCGGAUACUUUUAUAAUAGCUUUAAUAGUAUUAUUAACAUAGUGAAUAAAAUGGUGUCCUGUUUUUAACGCAGUUGGAGUAGCAGAAACAAAUGUAGAUAAAAAAAUCUGCAGGAAUAACGUUUCAAUUAUGACAGAAGCUCCAAACAAAUGACUGUGAAUGAAAAGCCCUAUUAAAAGCUUUCCAGAAGAUCCUGCGAAGAAGACAUGAAGUAUAGAUCAGAUUUGUUAAUAGAGGAGUAUGUUCAAAACACUUUUUAGAAAAAGAUAUUGACAGAACUUCACUUUCAUCUGUUCGUUUAAGAGACUGUGCUGUUCCAAUAGCUUAUGUCACACAGAAUCAGCUGAGAGAAGUGGUCUACAAAAAACCAGAAAGGAAACAGAAUAUGUGGCUACGAAAAGCAAAAGAAAGGUUUACAAAGCAAAUGUGACACAUUUUUUUAUAAUAUUUAGGAAUGUCAGUAAAUUACAUUAAAAAAUGUAUGUAAAGAUUUUUUGCAAUAAAAAUGUUUAUAUUUA
rnacentral:lncRNA from 1 species